rnacentral:lncRNA from 1 species
UUUUAACAUUUUCAUAAAAGUUUUUGAGGGUGUGACUCCUUUCUAAAGUAAUUAAUUUGUUUAGACCUUCUGUCUGUACAAAGGCUAAUUUGUACAACAAAUUACUUCACCCAAGUUUUCAGUUGUUUGUUGGUUUGUGUUGUGUUGUCACUUAAAAAUUUAAAAAAUGUUCUCUAUUUUGAUGGUUAUUUUCUCUAGUAAAUUCUAAUAUUGUGUACUGUAUUUGCAUUUAUCACUUUUAUUAAUUAGAUUGGCUAGAGGUUUGUCUACUUUGUUAAUUUGCCAAAUAUCCAUCUUUUCUAUUAGUUUAGUUUUUCUAAUUCAUUUUCUGGAUUUGUCUUUGUUAACCUUUUCUUCAGCAUUCUUUAUUUUUUGUACAUUGAGUCUUGAUUCAUUUAUAUUAUUUUUCAUUGUUGAUAUAGAAAUGAAAUGGAAUGAGUUUUCUUUUAAUAAAUGCUUUACCUGUAUCUAACAGAUUAAAAAAUACAUUAAUUUUCCAUCUCAAGACUUUUUGCAACAAAUGUGCUAAUUAUGCAGAAACUUCCUAUAGUUUGGAGAUUGUAGAAGCUUUUAUGGGUGAUUGACAGAGAACUGCUGAAUCCAGAUGAAUCUUUUGACUGAUGGCCAAACUUGAGGAUCUUCUGAAGAAAUGGCAUCCAUGUAUUCAGCCCUAAUAAGAAAGAAGUGAAAGAGGGGUAAGAAGGAAAAGGAAGAGGAUGAGGGAGCAGGAAGAAGAGAAGAAAAAAAUACAGCUUUAAAAUUAAACAAAAAUCCUUAUACUCCAGGGAGUUGUCAACAUAGAUUCAAAGAGAGCCUUAGAAUGUAUUUGGUAAGAUUGUGAAAUCUUCGUGGGAAAAAAAAAAAAAAAGAUCUUUUCUCAGGUUUUCUUCUUUCCAAUGAAUACAAGGUGGCUUAUUUGGGAAGGUCAAACUCCUGAUGAAAGAUGUGGACAAAAGUUAAAUGCCUAAGGUCAGGGAAUGUAUUCUUAUUCGGAUUGAACAGGAUCCUAUUUACUGGAUAGGCUACUUAUUAAUUCAAGGAUUCCCUCGAUGAAAACAUUUGCUUGAGAUUUCAUGUAGCUGGUCAUCAUGUUUGCAUGGCAUCGGCAGAGGGAGGGUAAAGACAGCUUGUAUGUAGAGCAGAAGUCAGGUGUACAAAUGGGGACUUUUUUGUUGUUGUGAGGGGCCUGUAACAUAGGUCUGUUACUGAAUGCAGUUAGAACACUAGGGAAUAGGAGGAAAGAAUACAGGUAUUAGGAAGUGAGAGACAACAGGCACAGUAAUAGAGUGAAGAGAAGAAGGACAGAGACACCAUGUCAAGUAGGGAAUGCUUAUUAUUAUAUUGAGAUUCCAAUGAUUAUUUUGAUCUUUGUAAUAACUGAGAAAGAUAGUAUCGUUUUGACAGAAGGGGACGAGGUGGGUAAGAGGGGUUAAGGAGUUUGAGUUAAACAGAAGGUGAUAUAGCUGGGACCUAGGUGGUUGUCUAAUUCCAAACCUUGUGAUUCUAACAAAGGUUCUCAAAUUUGAAAGCCAGGGCAAUA